UGGGGAAUAUUGCACAAUGGGGAAAGCCCUGAUGCAGCAACGCCGCGUGAAGGAUGAAGGUUUUCGGAUCGUAAACUUCUAUCAACAGGGACGAAACAAAUGACGGUACCUGAAUAAGAAGCCCCGGCUAACUACGUGCCAGCAGCCGCGGUAAUACGUAGGGGGCAAGCGUUAUCCGGAAUUACUGGGUGUAAAGGGAGCGUAGGCGGCACGUCAAGCCAGAUGUGAAAGCCCGGGGGCUUAACCCCGUGGAUUGCAUUUGGAACUGGCGAGCUAGAGUACAGGAGAGGAAAGCGGAAUUCCUAGUGUAGCGGUGAAAUGCGUAGAUAUUAGGAGGAACACCAGUGGCGAAGGCGGCUUUCUGGACUGCAACUGACGUUGAGGCGCGAAAGCGUGGGGAGCAAACAGGAUUAGAUACC
rnacentral:rRNA from 1 species